rnacentral:rRNA from 1 species
AUUGAACGCUGGCGGCAUGCUUUACACAUGCAAGUCGAACGGCAGCGCGGGCUUCGGCCUGGCUGAGGGGGGGGGACGGGCGGAUGAUGCAUCGAAACAUCGCAAGCUACUGGGGCUUGCCCGGCAAAGGCCGGAAUCAUACGCCAAUCCAGCAUACGAUGUAAGGGGGGGACCAAAAGGCCUCCCGCUCUUGCGCGGGCCGAUGAGCGGAUGUCGGAUUAGCUAGUUGGAGGGGUAAAGGCCCACCAAGGCGACGAUCCGUAGCUGGUCUGAGAGGACGACCAGCCACACUGGAACUGAGACACGGCCCAGACUCCUACGGGAGGCAGCAGUGGGGAAUUUUGGACAAAGGGGGCAAGCCUGAUCCAGCCAUGCCGCGUGCGGGAAGAAGGCCUUCGGGUUGUAAAGCGCUUUUGUUGGGGAAGAAAACCUGUAGGCUAAUACCCCGGGGUGCUGACGGUACCGAAAGAAUAAGCACCGGCUAACUACGUG